rnacentral:rRNA from 1 species
GACGAACGCUGGCGGCGUGCUUAACACAUGCAAGUCGAACGGAAAGGCCCUGCUUUUGUGGGGUGCUCGAGUGGCGAACGGGUGAGUAACACGUGAGUAACCUGCCCUUGACUUUGGGAUAACUUCAGGAAACUGGGGCUAAUACCGGAUAGGAGCUCCUUCUUCAUGGUGGGGGUUGGAAAGUUUCGGCGGUUGGGGAUGGACUCGCGGCUUAUCAGCUUGUUGGUGGGGUAGUGGCUUACCAAGGCUUUGACGGGUAGCCGGCCUGAGAGGGUGACCGGCCACAUUGGGACUGAGAUACGGCCCAGACUCCUACGGGAGGCAGCAGUGGGGAAUAUUGCACAAUGGGCGGAAGCCUGAUGCAGCAACGCCGCGUGCGGGAUGACGGCCUUCGGGUUGUAAACCGCUUUCGCCUGUGACGAAGCGUGAGUGACGGUAAUGGGUAAAGAAGCACCGGCUAACUACGUG